UCAGCCGCCGCGGUAAAACCAGCACCUCGAGUGGUCAGGAGGUUUAUUGGGCCUAAAGCAUCCGUAGCCGGUUGUUUAAGUUUUCGGUUAAAUCUAUGCGCUUAACGUAUAGGCUGCCGAAAAUACUGGACAGCUAGGGAGUGGGAGAGGUACACGGUACUCAACAGGAAGGGGUAGAAUCCUUUGAUCUGUUGAUGACCACCUGUGGCGAAGGCGGUGUACCAGAACACGUUCGACGGUGAGGGAUGAAAGCUGGGGGAGCAAACCGGAUUAGAUACCCGGGUAGUCCCAGCUGUAAACGAUGCAGACUCGGUGAUGCAUUGGCUUGUGGCCAAUGCAGUGCCGCAGGGAAGCCGUUAAGUCCGCCGCCUGGGAAGUACGUACGCAAGUAUGAAACUUAAAGGAAUUGGCGGGGGAGCACA
rnacentral:rRNA from 1 species